AUAAGUAGAUAUAGAAGUUAAUGAACAUUUAAGAAGCCAGUCCAGAUGUGGAGUCUACGCUUAAAAAGGUAGGUGAAUACGAUACUAGUAAGUAGAAUUUAGGUAUAUCUUAAUCCUCUUAUUGAAGUCCACAGGGAUCUCAAAGACCUUUCUACAGAGAAGACUACCAGGAAAUGGAAGAAGCGGAAGGAGCAAGCAAGGACAAAGUCAACAUUCAAGAAUUACAAGAAAUGGAUUCUCCUCAUGGCAAAGAAACGGAAUGGAUUGGACGGACGACGGAUCAUGCAUGGUGCCCCAAUGGUUACACAGGCAUCGCAAAGACCUUCCUUCAGACAAGAGUACCAAGAAAUCGUUGACAUGGAUUCUGUUCAAGACUGUCGACGAUGCCCAAACGGUUUAACAGGCCUCCCAGAGAAGAGUACAAGUAAUGACAUGAAGCAGACAGAGAAAGUGAUAGUAAUAAAGUCAGCAUUCAAGAAUGUACUGGAAAGUCUAAGCUCAAAAAGGUAGGUGAAUACGAUACUAGUAAGUAGAAUUUAGGUAUAUCUUAACCCUCUUAUUUAAGUCCACAGGGAUCUCAAAGACCUUUCUACAUGAAGACUUGACCAGGAAAUGGAAGAAGCGGAAGGAGCAAGCAAGUACAAAGUCAACAUUCAAGAAUUACAAGAAAUGGAUUCUCCUCAAGGCAAAGAAACGGAAUGGAUUGGACGGACGACGGAACAUGCAUGGUGCCCCAAUGGUUCAACAGGCAUCGCAAAGACCUUCCUUCAGACAAGAGUACCAAGAAAUCUUUGACAUGGAUUCUGUUCAAGGCAAAAGUAAAUGGAUUGGAGAAAGACUGUCGACGAUGCCCAAACGGCCUCCCAGAGAAGAGUACAAGGAAUGACAUGAAGCAGACAGAGAAAGUGAUAGUGAUAAAGUCAGCAUUCAAGAAUUCCACAGGGAUCUCAAAGACCUUUCUACAGAGAAGACUUGACCAGGAAAUGGAAGAAGCGGAAGGAGCAAGCAAGGACAAAGUCAACAUUCAAGAAUUACGGGAAAGACAUUGAAAUAGAUUCUCCUCAAGGCGAAAAAACGGAAUAGAUUGGACGGACGACGGAUCAUGCAUGGUGCCCCAAUGGAUUAACAGGCAUCGCAAAGACCUUCCUUCAGACAAGAGUACCAAGAAAACGUUGACAUAGAUUCUGCUCAAGGCAAAAGUAAAUGGAUUGGAGAAAACUUGUCACCAGAUCAUGCAUUGUGCCCCAACGGAUUGACAGACCUGUCAGAUACCAUUCUUCAGAAGAAGCAGAGAAAACCACAUCAAGAAUAAACGAAGAAGUCGUUAAGAGGAAUUUUAUUCAAGGCCAAGUCAAUAGACGAGAUGAACUGGAGAAAGACUGUCGACAGAUCAUGCAUGGUGCCCCAAUGGCUUAACAGGCUUCGCAAAGAGCUUUCGUCAGAGAAGCGUAACGGGAAAUUCUUGAAAUGGAUUCUGUUCAAGGUAAAAGACAAAGUUGUUUGGAGAAAGACGGUUACCAGAUCAUGCAUGGUGCCACAACGGAUUGACAGACCUGGCAGAGACU
rnacentral:sRNA from 1 species